UGAGGAAUAUUGCGCAAUGGGCGAAAGCCUGACGCAGCGACGCCGCGUGGAGGACGAAGGUCUUCGGAUCGUAAACUCCUGUCGAGCGGGACGAAGCCGGGGCGGUGAACAGCCGCUCCGGUUGACGGUACCGCUAAAGGAAGCCCCGGCUAACUCCGUGCCCGCAGCCGCGGUAAUACGGAGGGGGCCAGCGUUGUUCGGAAUCAUUGGGCGUAAAGGGCGCGUAGGCGGCUUGGUAAGUCCGUUGUGAAAUCCCUCGGCUCAACCGAGGAACUGCGACGGAUACUGCUUGGCUUGAGUCCCGGAGAGGGUAGCGGAAUUCCCAGUGUAGCGGUGAAAUGCGUAGAUAUUGGGAGGAACAUCGGUGGCGAAGGCGGCUACCUGGACCGGUUCUGACGCUGAUGCGCGAAAGCGUGGGUAGCAAA
rnacentral:rRNA from 1 species